CUAAUCUUUAUCAUUCUUGGUUCAUAGGGUGCAUGUAUUGCUGCACCCAAUCUUUGUAAGUUAAGCUCUUUGUCUUUCAAUUGUAUUUCCAAAUGAAGCUCAUGGAUACAUGUAUGUUGUAGGUAUUGGUUUCUUUAUUAUAUCAUGCAGUACAAUGAAGCCUCGGUCGUAUUGCACGAUUACUUGACAAAUUGAAUUUUUUUUCCCAUAUGUUUACAUGUAUUGUGUACUAAUGAGAUGUAGUUUUGUCACCGUCAAGACUUUUGUUAAGAAGUGUCGAUGAUAAAGUAAUCAAAUAUUGACUGUGCAUGAGGAUGACUGUAAAAAUUAUCAUUCCCGAAGUGCGUUUCAUACCUCUAUCACCCCUGGGCCAAGGCUUUGGAGUAAUAGAAGGGCGGGUAUGAAAAGCACCGAGAGAGUGAUUAUAUUCACUGUCAUCCGAAUAGAGCAGUCCAUAUUUGUUUUUUUAUAACUCAUCAAUAAUUACACAACUCUAUCCCCAGUCUAUUAAAUUUCAGGACCACUAGUGUAUUAAGGUCAAUUUGAUUUGCUAAAUUUCUUUAGUUGUAAUUUAAACGAGCUGAUCCCGGGGCUGCUCUGCUGUUGGCCAGGCCAGGACAACCGAUAAAUCCAGUUGGCAAGCCAGCCAGCGCGCCGUUGGCUGCUCGUACAGUCAUGACCGAGUAGCAGCAGCGCAGCCAGCUACAUGCGCAGCAAUAUAGCUCGAGCCAGCUACAUGCAUGCGUUGAAACACAAAUUGUGAUCCUGCCCCCUCAGGGGUUGCAAGUACUAUCAGAGGGUUUGAUAGAAGAAAUGUACAGUAAGUCAAACCCCUGAGACGAUGAUAGACAGAAUAGUACCGCGUUACAUGAUGCAGUUUUGACCAAUCAGAGAUAAAAACUUAAUAUGAGGUAUAUAAUGCCUUUUGAUGGCUGAUUUGAUGUUCCGGUAUUGACUAGACUAUAUGACCUCAGCAAGAAUCAAAUUAAAAUAAUAUAUAUUAGUUGAUUUACAGUCACCAAACAGUAUUUUUUAUUGUGUGGCUUCUGUGUUACUCUAAAAAAACUUAAUAAUGAACAAGUAAUCUUAGAUUAGAAAGCAAUAGACUGACAUAUUUACUUAAAAUGUAUUACGUACAAACUGUUAUCAUGUAAAUUUGUGCAUUUGUCAUUGAUUAAAUACAUUUGAUUUGAAAAGCUGCUGAAUAGCAUAACUUCCCCCUAUGCAGGAUAUUUCAAACUGUCUAAUCAACCACUAGCUAAACAAUCACAGAUAUAGAUCCUGUCAUUUUUAAAAAAUUACUAUGAGUAUUGUUCUUACAAGGUGGCCCUUUGUGCGUAAAAGACAUUUGUGCAAUAUUUUUUUUUUCCAUAGAUAUUG